CAUUUCAAAGAGGAAAGUGGUUCAAGCAUCACCUGUGUUUGUCCUCUCUCUCUCUCUCUCGACAUUAUCUCCACUCAUAGCUACUUCUGCAGCUUCAACAACCCUAGCAACCAGCAGUUGAACUACCUUGAUUAUCACCGGGGCCUUAAACAUCCAAGCGAUCACUUCAAGGACCACAGCGUAGCGCUGGAUCGGUGGUUAUGGAAGCUCAGGGAUGCAGUUGAGGGAGCAGAGGAUGUCAUUUAUCUUCACCAGAAUAUAAAGAGUAAACAAAUCCCUCAAAAAAUGAAGGGGCCUAAAAGGAGUUGCUGGCACUGUGCUGGCAUGUUUGUGUGCCAGCUCAAGUUGGCAAUUCCAGAUAGGGUCAAGCCUGAUGAGGAGGCCAAGAGGAGUAGCAAGCGCUGUGCUAGCAAGUUUAUGCGCCUGUGCGAGCUGGAGCUUCUGAUUCCAUAUAUAAUGUGUUUCAUCAUCAUUGUGAUUUGA
rnacentral:lncRNA from 2 species